AGCAGAAGGGAGAGGAGUGACGUUGUCGACUCCAGACUCUAGCGUAGCAGAAGGGAGAGGAGUGACGUUGUUUUAGUGAUCCCACAGAUUCCAGUCGACAGAUACUAUCUGUGUUCUGUGACGUGGAAAGAGUGGGUUUUUAUUAUAGUUAUCAGUUCCAGUUUAGUUGAAGUCCUCAUCAUUCAGAAGUACCUCAUAUAGUAAGAAGAACAUCAUCAUCAGGAGUAGUAGUUUUAAUUUAAUAGUAGUUUAAUCUAAUAGUAAAAAGACAUUAUUUAGUUUAGUAUUGAUUUGUGUAUUAGUUAUAGCAGUGUGAGUAGCUGAGUCGCACCAAUCACCUUUUAAUCACUCAUUCACUAUUUGAGGGUGAGUACAUAGAGUAACAAGGUUACAUUUGAAACACCAUUUAUUUGUAUAACCUCUUUAUUCAUCUAAUUUGUAUUUAUAAUAA